CCAGAGUCGACUUCAGGUCAACAGGAACAAGAGGUGCAGCCUCAGGCAGUGGAGGUAACCUCUUGGACUGAACACAUGAUGUGGCUGUCACAUGAACCUUGGGAGCUGAACCCUCAAAUACAAACUUCCAGGACACAUUGGCCACACAACCUCAAAUCUAGUAUCACAUCACACUGCGCCUGUGACCAGCCUGGCACCAGCAAGGAGGAGAUCUCCUUUAUCAGAGGGGAGAUGCAGCUAUGGCUCCAGAAAAGAAGCCAAGGAAUGGAGAAAGGAAGCAAGAGCCCAGCCCAAGAGAGCG
ensembl:lncRNA